rnacentral:rRNA from 1 species
CUACGGGAGGCUGCAGUGGGGAAUAUUGGACCAUGGGCGAAAGCCUGAUCCAGCCAUGCCGCGUGUGUGAAGAAGGCCUUCGGGUUGUAAAGCACUUUCAGUGGGGAAGAAAGCCUUGGGGCUAAUACCCUCGAGGAAGGACAUCACCCACAGAAGAAGCACCGGCUAACUCCGUGCCAGCAGCCGCGGUAAUACGGAGGGUGCGAGCGUUAAUCGGAAUUACUGGGCGUAAAGCGCGCGUAGGCGGUCUGAUAAGCCGGUUGUGAAAGCCCCGGGCUCAACCUGGGAACGGCAUCCGGAACUGUCAGGCUAGAGUGCAGGAGAGGAAGGUAGAAUUCCCGGUGUAGCGGUGAAAUGCGUAGAGAUCGGGAGGAAUACCAGUGGCGAAGGCGGCCUUCUGGACUGACACUGACGCUGAGGUGCGAAAGCGUGGGUAGCAAACAGGAUUAGAUACCCUAGUAGUC